rnacentral:rRNA from 1 species
UACGUAGGAAGCAAGCGUUGUCCGGAUUUAUUGGGUGUAAAGGGUGCGUAGGCGGGAUGGCAAGUCGGUCGUGAAAUCCUUCGGCCCAACCGAAGAACGUCGGCCGAUACUGCCGUUCUUGAGGGAUGCAGAGGAGACUGGAAUUCCCGGUGUAGCGGUGAAAUGUGUAGAGAUCGGGAGGAACACCGGUGGCGAAGGCGGGUCUCUGGGCAUUUCCUGACGCUGAGGCGCGAAAGCGUGGGGAGCAAACGGG